UUUUGCAUUUGUUUUGUUUUGCGAGGACAAUGACAUUGACCUAAUCGGGCUAACUUCAACCACAAAUAUUGAUAUUGAUUUGACAAUGCUUUAUGUUGAACUUUGUGUAGUCAAGUUUGCUGAUUUGAUGUUUGAGUAAUGAUAGUGACUGUUUUGCUUUAUGGUGUGUGCGGACUUAUGCUGUUAGCAAGGACUUCUCAAUACAUAUACCUCCACGCCUUUAAAUAUUGAGGUACGUAACCAACAUUUAAACUGUAUAUUUAUCUCGGACAUAAUUAACUUGAGCUUGAACUUUUUCGUGUUCAAUUUCAAACUCAAGUUAAUUAGGUUAUGUUAGCAACGCCUUUGUUGUAUUUUCUCUAUUUUCGAAUUUCGCGAUUUGAAUAUUUGUGUAAUAGUAGUGACUGUUUUGCAUUUGUUUUGUUUGCGGGACUACUGCCAUUGCCUAUUGGAUUAACUUCAACCUCAGAUUAUUAGGUAUUAUUUGACAAUGCUUUAUGUUGCACUUUGUUUAUUUCAAGUUAUGCUUAUUUGAUUGAAUUUUUGAGGUAAGAGUAGUUAGUUUUGCAUUGAUUUGUGUUGUGCGAAAACUGAGCUAUUACCAAGCAGUACUCUCAAAUACAUAAAUCCUCCACGCCUUUAAAUAUUGAGGUACGUAACAAACAUUUAAAACUGUAUAUUUAUCUCGGACAAUAAUUAAACUUGACUUGCAUUUUUCGGGUUCAAUUCAACUCAAGUUAGUUAGGUUAUGUUAGACAACGCCUUAUGUUUUUGUAUUUUCCCUAUUUCGAAUUUCUGCUGACAAUUUGAAUACUUGUGUAAUAAGUAGUGAUGUUGUGCAUUUGUUUUGUUUUGCGAGGACUAAUUGCCAUUGACUAUUGGAUUUUUAACUUCAACCUCAGAUUAUUUAGGUAUUAUUGGACAAUGCUUAUGUUGCUACUUUGUUUAUUUCAAGUUAGGCUGAUUUGAAUUUUUUAGUAAUGAGUAGUUACCUGUUUGCAUUAUUGUGUUGUGCGAGAACUGAUGCUAUUACCAGUACUUCAAAUACAUAUCUCCAUGCCUUUAAAUAUUGAGGUACGUCAACAACAUUUGAAAUUGUAUAUAUUUAUUUUUGCGACAAUAAUUAUACUUGAGCUUGAAAGUUUUCCUGGUUCAAUUAAAACUAAUUUAAUUGGUUAUGUUACAGACAACCUUGUCGCCUUAAUAUUGUAUUUUCUCUAAUUUCAAGUUAUGCUCUUUGAAUAUGGUGUAAUACGUAGUUCUUGUUUCGCAUUUGUUUUGUUUUGCGAGGACUAAUGACAUGACUAUCGGGCUUUUCAAACUUCAACUCAGAUUAUUUAGGUAUUAUUUGACAAUGAUUUAUGUUGAACUUUGUUUAUUUCAGUUAUGCUGAUUUAAAUUUGAGUGAAUGCGUAGUGAUUGUUUUGCAUUUAUUGUGUUGUGCGAGAAUGAUGCUAUCCACGUACUCUCAAAUACAGAAUCUCCACGCCUUUUAAAAUAUUGAGGUACGUAACAAACAUUGAAAUUGUAUAUUUAUUUUGGGACAAUAAAUUAAACUUGAGCUUGAAAUUUUCCGGGUUCAAUUGAAAAACUCAAGGUAAUUAGGAUGUUAGCAACGCUUAAUUGUAUGUUCUCUAUUUCAAGUUAUGACUAAUUUGAAUAUUGUGUUGUAUAAAGUAGUGACUGUUUUGCAUUUGUUUUGUUUUGCGCGGACUAAUGAGAUGACUCUCAAACUGUAUUUAUUCUUGAGACAAUAAUUAAUUUGAUCUUGAAUUUCUCGGAUCAGUUCAAACUCAUGUUAAUUAGGGGUAGGUUAGACAACGCCUUAGUGUAUUUUCUCUAUUUCGAAUUACACUGAUUGAAUAUUGUUGUAAUAAGUAGUAACUGUUGGUAUUUGUUUUGUUUUGCGAGGACGAAUGCCAUGACUACGGGUUUAACUUAACCUCAAAUUCUUAGUAUUAUUUGACCAAUGCUUAUGUUUGGACUGGUAUUUCAAGUUAUCCUGAUUGAAUUUUUGAGUAGUAAAUAGUGACUGUUUUGCAUUAUUUAUUGUGCGAGAAACUGAUGUUUACCAAGUACUCUCAAAUAAAUAUCUCCACGCUUUAAAUAUUGAGGUACGUAACAAAAAAUGUAAAACUGUAUAUUAUCUCGGACAAUAAUUAACUUGAGCUUGAAAUUUUUCGGGUUCAAUUUCAAACUCAAGUUAGUUAGGUUAUGUUAGAAAACGCCCUUAUGUUGGAUGAUGUUGGAUUUUCUCUAUUUCGAAUUUCGCUGAUUUUGAUAUGUGGUAAUAAGUAGUGAAUGUUUUGCAUUUGUUUUGUUUUCCGAGGACUAAUGCCAUUGAACUAUUGGGAUUAACUUCAACCUAAGCUAUUUAGGUAUUAUUUGACAAUGCUUUAUGUUGUACUUUGUGUAUUUCAAGUUAUGUGAUUGAAUUUUUGAGUAAUGAGUAGUUACUGUUUUGCAUUUAUUGGGUUGUCGAGAACUGAUGCUAUUACCAAGUACUCUCAAAUACAUUAUCUCCAUGCUUAAAUAUUGAGGUAAGUAACAAACAUUUGAAAUUGUAUAUUUUUUUUGGACAAUAAUUAAUUGAGCUUGAAAUUUUCCGGGUUAAUUUAACAACUCAAGUUAAUUAGGUGUAUGUUAGCACCGCCGCAUAUUUGUAUUUUCUCUAUUUCAAGUUAUGCUAAUUUGAAUAUUUGUGUUAAAUAAGUAGUUACUGUUGCAUUUGUUUUGUAUUUGCGAGGACUAAUGACCAUUGGGACUCGGGGCUACUAACUUCAAACCACAAAUUAUUUAGGUAUAUUGACAAUGAUUUAGUUGUACUUUGUUUAUUUCAAGUUAUGUGUUUGAAUUUUUGAGUAAUGAGUAGUGACUGAUUUGCAUUAUGUGUGUGCGAGAACUGAUGCUGUUACCAAGUACUCUCAAAUACAUUUCUCCACGCCUUUAAAUUAUUGAGGUACGUAACAAAAUUUGAAAUUAUAUAUUAUGCUGGACAAUAAUUAACUUGAACUUGAAAUUCCCGGUUUCAAUUUCAACCAGUUAAUUAGGUUAUGUUAGAAAACGCCUUAUAUUGUAUUUUCUCUAUUCAAGUUAUGUUGAAUUGAAUAUGUUGUAAAUAGUUAGUGAACUGUUUCGCAUUUGUUUUGUUUUGCGAGGGACUAAUUCCAUUGACUAUCGGAGUUUAAGCUUCAACCUCAGAUUAUUUAGGUAUUAUUUGACAAUGGUUUAUGUUGAACUUUGUUUAUUUCAAGUUAUGCUGAUUUAAUUUUUGAGGAAUGAGUAGUUAUUGUUUGCAUUUAUUGUGUUGGGCGAGAAAUGAUGUAUUACAAGUAUUCAAAAUACAUAGCUCCCACAGAGCCUUUAAAUAUUGAGUACGUAACAAACAUUGAAAAUUGUAUAUGUAUUUUGGACAAUAAUUAAACUUGAGCUUGACAUUCCCGGGUUCAAUUAAAACUGCAAGUUAGUUAAUUAGGUUUUUAUGUUAGGCAACGCGUAUUGUAUUUUCUAUAUUUCAAGUUAUGCUAAAUUUGAAAUAUUUGGUAAUGUAAUAAGUAGUGCUGUUUCAUUUGUUUUGUUUUGCGAGGACUUAAUGAUAUUGACUAUCGGGCUAAACUCAACCACAAAUUAUUUAGGUAUUAUUUGACAUGCGUUAUUGGAACUUUGUGUAUUUCAAGUUAUGCGAUUUGAAUUUUGGUGAGUAAAUGAGUAUGACUAUGUUUUGAAUUUAUUGUGUUGAUGCGAGAACUGAUGCUGUUACACCAAGUACUCUCAAAAUACAUAUAUCCACGCCUUUAAAUAUUGAGGUACGUAACAAACAUUUGAAAUUAUAUAUUUAUGUUGGACAAUAAUUAAUUGAGAACUUGAAAUUUCCCGGUUCAUUUCAAACUCAAGUUAAUUAGGUUAUGUUAGAUCAACGCCUCUUAUAUUGUCUUUUCUCAUUUCAAGUUAUGAUGAAAUUGAAAUUGUGUGUAAUAAGUGGUGACUGGUUUCGCAUUUGUUUUGUUUGGCGAGGACUAAUGCGAUUGACUAUCGGUGUUUUAACUUAAACCUCAGAUUAUUUAGGUAUUAGUAUUUGACCAAUUAUUUAUGUUGAACUUUGUUUAUUUCAAGUUAUGCUGAUUUGAAUUUUUGAGUAAUGAGUAGUGACUGUUUUGCAUUUAUGUUGUGCCUGAGAAGCUGAGCUAUUACCAAGUACUCUCAAAUAAUUCUCCCGGACGCCUUUAAAUAUUGAAGGACGUAACAAACAUUUGAAAUUGUAUAGUUAUUUUGGACAAUAAUUACUUGAGCUUGCAAUUUCCCGGGUUCAUUUCAAAAUCCAGUUUAAUAGGUUAUGUUAGGCAAGCCUUAUAUGUAUUUUCUUCUAUUUCACGUUCUUGCACAUUUGCAUCUUUGUGUAAUAAGUCGUGAUCUGUUUUGCAUGUGUUUUGUGUUUGGCGAGGAUAAUGAUAAUUGACUACGGGCUAAACUUCAACACAAAUUAAUGUAGGUAUAUUUGACAAUGAUUUAUGUUGAACUUGUGUAUUCAAGUAUGCUUGAUUUGCAUUUUGCAGAAUGAGUAAGUGCUGUUUUGCAUUUAUGUGUUGUGUGACGGGAGAACUGAUGACUUGUUACCAAGUUACUCUCAGUAAAUUACAUAUCUCCACGCCUUUAAAUAUUGAGGUACGUAACAAACAUUUGAAAUUAUAUAUUUAUGUUGGACAAUAAUUAACUUGAACUUGAAAUUUCCCGGUUUCAAUUUCAAACUCAAGUUAAUUAGGUUAUGUUAGACAACGCCUUAUAUUGUAUUUUCUCUAUUUCAAGUUAUGCUGAAUUGAAUAUUUGUGUAAUAAGUAGUGACUGUUUCGCAUUUGUUUUGUUUUGCGAGGACUAAUGCCAUUGACUAUGGGUUUAACUUCAACCUCAGAUUAUUUAGGUAUUAUUUGACAAUCAUUUAUGUUGAACUUUGUUUAUUUCAAGUUAUGCUGAUUUGAAUUUUUGAGUAAUGAGUAGUGACUGUUUUGCAUUUAUUGUGUUGUGCGAGAACUGAUGCUGUUACCAAGUACUCUCAAAUACAUAUCUCCACGCCUUUAAAUAUUGAUAGUGUACGUAAACAAAUAUUUGAAUUAAUAUUUAUGUUGGACAUAAUUAAAUUGAACUUGAAAAUUCCCGGUUUCAAUCUUCUAAAACUAAGAGUUAAUUAGGUUAUGUUAGACCACUCCUUAUAUGGUAUUUUCUCUAUUCAAGUUAUGGUAAUUGAAUAUUGUGUAAAAGAAGUAGUGACUGUUUCGCAUUGUUUUGUUUUGCGAGGACUAAUUCCAUUGACUAUCGGGUUUUAACUUCAACUCAGAUUAUUUAGGUAUAUGUGACAAUGAUUGAUGUUGAAAUUUGUUUAUUUUCAAGUUAUGUGAUUCUAAAUUUUUGAGUAAUGAGUAGUGAUCUGUUUUGCAUUUAUUGGUGUGCGAGAACUGAUGUUGUUACAAGUACUCUCAAUACAUUAUCUCCACGACUUUAAAUAUUGAGGUACGUAACAAACAUUUGAAAUGUAUAUUUAUUUUGGACAAUAAUUAACUUUGAGCUUGCAAAAUUUUCCGGGUUCAAAGUUCAAACUCAAGUUAAUUAGGUUAUGUUAGCAACAACGCCUUAUAUUGUAUUUUCUCCUAUUCAAGUUAGCUAAUGUGAAUAUUUGGGUAAUAAGUAGUGACUGUUUUGCAUUGUUUUGUUUUGCAGGAUAAUGAUAUUGAAUCGGGCUAAAAACUUCAACCACAAAUGAUUUAGGUAUUAUUUGACAAUGUGUAUGUUGAACUUUGUUGAUUUCAAGUUAUGCUGAUUUGAAUUUGGAGUAAUGAGUAGGGACUGUUGUGCAGUUAUUUGUUGUGCGAGAACUGAUGCUCGUUACAAGUACUCUCAAAUACAUUAUCUCAGCCUUUAAAUAUUGAGGACGUAACAAACAUUUGAAAUUGGAUAUUUAUUUUGGCAAUAAUUAAACUUGAGUUUGAAAUUCCCGGGUUCAAGUUCCAAACUCGAGGUAAUUAGUAUGUUAGACAACGCCCUAUAUUGUAUUUUCUCUAUUUCAAGUUAUGCCCUGAUUGAAUAUUUGUAAUAAGUAGAAAAUGACUGUUUCGAAUUUGUUUUGUUUUGCGAGGACUAAUGCCAUUGGCUAUCGGGUUUUAACGGUCAACCUCAAAUUAUUUAGGUAUUAUUUGACAAGCUUUAUUUUGUACUUUGUUUAUUCAUGUUAUGCGAUUUUAAUUUGUAGUUAAAUAGUAGUGACUAUUUUGCAUAUGGUGUGCGAGAACUGAUGUUGUUACCAAGUACUCUCCAAAUACAUAUCUCCACGCCUUUAAAUAUUGAGGUACGGAACAACAUUGAAAUUGUAUAUUAUUUUGGACAAUAAUUAACUUGAGCUUGAAAGUUCCCGGGUUCAAUUUCAAACUCAAGUUAUUAGGUUAUGUUAGACAACGCUUAUAUUGUAUAUUUCUCUAUCAAGUUUGCUAAAUUUGAAUAUUUGGGUAAUAAGUAGUGAUGUUUUGCAUUUGUUUUUGUUUUUCGAGGACUAAUGACAUUGACUAUCGGGCUAAACCAAAACACAAAUUAUUUAGGUAUUAGGUUGAUAAUACUUUAUGUGGAACGUUGUUUAUUUAAGUUAGGCUGAUUUGAUUUUGAGUAAUGAGUAGUGACUGUUUGCAUUUAUGGGUGUGCGGAACUGAUGCUAUUACCAAGUACUCUCAAAUACAUACUCCCGCCUUUAAAAUAUUGAGGUACGUAACAAAAUUUGAAAUUGGAUAUUUAUUUUGGACAAUAAUUAACUUGAGCUUGAAAUUUCCGGGUUCAAUUUCAAACUCAAGUUAAUUAGGUUAUGUUAGCGACGGCCUUAUAUUGUAUUUUUCUAUUUCAAGUUAUGCUGAAAUUGAAUAUUGUGUAAUAUGUAGUGACUGUUUCGCAUUGUUUUGUUUUGCGAGAACUAAUGCAUUGACUAUCGGGUUAACGUCAACCUCAAAUUCUUUAGUUAUUUAUUUGACAAUGCUUUAUGUCGUACAUUGUUUAAUCAAGUUAGCUGAUUAAAUUUUGAGUAGUGGACGUUCGCAUUUAUUGUUGUGGUGCAGAACUGAUCCAUACCAAGUCUCUCAAAUACAUAUCUCCCCGCCUUUAAAUAUUGAGGUAGUAACAAACAUUUGAAAUUGUAUAUAUUUAUUUUGGACAAUAAUUACUGAGCUUGAAAUUUUCCGGGUUCAAUUUCAAACUCAAGUUAAUUAAGGUUAUGUUAGACAACGCCUUAUAUUUUAUUUUCUCUUUUCAGUUCUGCUGAUUUGAAUAUUUGUGUAAUAAGUAGUGCUUUUUUACCAUUUGUUUUUGUUUUUCGAGGACUAAUGCCAUGACUAUCGGGUUUAACGUCACCUCAGUUAUGUAGGUUAUAUUUGACAAUGAUUUAUGUUGAACUUUUUAUUCAAUUAUGUGAUUUGAAUUAUGAGUAAUGACAGUCGAGACUGUUUUUGGCAUUUAUGUGUUUGUUCAGAAUUU
rnacentral:lncRNA from 1 species